rnacentral:rRNA from 1 species
UACGGAAGGCAGCAGUGGGGAAUAUUGCACAAUGGGCGAAAGCCUGAUGCAGCUAUGCCGCGUGUAUGAAGAAGGCCUUAGGGUUGUAAAGUACUUUCAUCGGGGAGGAAAAAACAAAACUAAUAAUUUUAUUUCUUGACGUUACCCGAAAAAGAAGCACCGGCUAACUCCGUGCCAGCAGCCGCGGUAAUACGGAGGGUGCUAGCGUUAAUCAGAAUUACUGGGCGUAAAGAGCACGUAGGUGGUUUUUUAAGUCAGAUGUGAAUCCCUGGGCUUAACCUAGGAACUGCAUUUUGAAACUGAAAUACUAGAGUAUCGUAGAGGGAGGUAGAAUUCUAGGUGUAGCGGUGAAAUGCGUAGAUAUCUGGAGGAAUACCUGUGGCGAAAGCGGCCUCCUAAACGAAUACUGACACUGAGGUGCGAAAGCGUGGGGAGCGAAACAGGGAUUAGAUACC